CGAAAAACAGCAGGAGAUUUUGUGAGUGGUCAGGCUGAGAACAGUGACACUGGAGAUGCGCGUUCAUGUGAAUUCUCCAUGUUUUUCUUUCUCUCUUUGAAUGAAUACAACGUCGCCCGGUUGGAAUAUUAUCGCUAUUUUACAAGAAAAAUCGCAUAAAAAAUGAUUUUAAACAGCGUUUGACAUGCUUCGAAGUACGGUAAUGGAAUAUUUAGACAUUUUUUGUCACGAAAUGCACUCGGAUACUGACCUGAACGCACAAACAGAACGGAGGUAUUUGGAUAAGACUAUGGAUUAUUUCGAACCAAAACAACAUUUGUUGUUGAAGUAGAAUUCCUGGGAGUGCAUUCUGAUGAAGACAGCAAAGGACAAUGACCCAAAACACCUCCAGGCUGUCAGGGCUAUGUUACCAAAAGGAGAGUGAUGGAGUUCUGCAUCAGAUGACCUGGCCUCCACAAUCCCCCAACCUCAACCAAAUUGAGGUGGUUUGGGAUUAGUCGGACCGCAGAGUGAAGGAAAAGCAGCCAACAAGUGCUCAGCAUAUGUGGGAACUUCUUCAAACUGUUGGAAAAGCAUUCCAGGGGAAGCUGGUUGAGAGAAUGCCAAGAGUGUGCAAAGCUUUCAUCAAGAGGGUGGAUAUUUAAGGAGUCUGAAAUAUAAAAUAUAUUUUGAUUUGUUUAACACUUUUUUUCUUACUACGUGAUUCCAUAUGUGUUAUCUCAGUUUUGAUGUCUUCACUAUUAUUCUACAAUGUAUAAAUAAAGAAAAACCCUUGAAGGAGUAGGUGUUCUAAAACUUUUUACUGGUAGUGUAUAUAUUUUCGAAGAAGUGUUGAUCAUCAUUAUUUGGCCCAUAUAGAUUAAUUAGCCAGAUCUGUUUUUGGUCCAAUAGCAUAUUUAAAAUAAUCCAUCUUCCUUGCGGAUCUGUUUGCACAGUUUGCACAAUCGGAUCAACAUUUGUAUUAAUUAGUUUAAUCACCCC
rnacentral:lncRNA from 1 species